UUGGGAUUCGGUUCUGGCUUCGGCAAAUUUGAUUCAAGAAAAGCAAUACAACAGCUAUGGAAAUGCCCUCCUUGUUCGUUCAGAAAAUAUUAUGACGAAACGUGUAAACAACAAAGAGAAAGAAUUGGAUGUGGAGGAAGAGAGUGAUCUUUUGGUGGAUUAGGGAUAUAGCAACACAGCAAGCAGCAAAGCAACAACCUUCAUAAACAACAUUUGUUGUGUUCGGUUCAAUCGUGGGAGACGGAGCCAACGGAGACGGAGCCAAUGCCGGACUUUCAAUCGCCGGAGCUCCUGCUGUAUUGUCAACUGGAGUUGGCCUUGUGCUGAUUGGAGGCCAUGCCGCCAUUAAUGCCUGCUUAAUCAAACUCCUUUCGGUAGCUCUGA